GGGACCACCCGAGAGAAGAAGUCAUACCUGGUGUUAUCACUUAGCUCUGGGGCUGUGGAUGCAUAGCUGAUUUGAGCAGUGAAAAGUGCCAAGAAAGAAGAACAGAAGGAUGCUAAAGAAGUGCAGCAGAGGGACAUACAGGCUAGACGGGAACACAGAAGAUGCAGGAAAUCUAGCAUACAAGGCAGGAAACAACAUUUCAGCCUCAAGAAACUGCACGUCCAAAGGUUCCUGCAAGAUGAAUGAAAGCAACUAAAAAGAGGGCAAUAAUAUUGGGGGAUCUGGAGUGUAAGAGAGUCUUCAGGACUGGAGAUAAAGAACGGUGAGGACAUAAUGGAGGCAGUAGUUCAAGCCACAGAGGCAUGUGAUCACCCAAAGAAACUAUGAAAGAAGGGCAAUUUGGGAAGGUGACCUAUGCAGCUAUGUAUCUCAGCACUCCUCUGCUGCCACGCUACAAUAUGGUCCACUGGGAUAUUCUACUGCAUUGUAAAAAGCUCUCUCCUUGACCAAACCCACCGGAAACCAAGGGGCAGGAGAACCUGUUGAUGUUGUCUGCACAGAGUUGCCUCCCAGGGCAGUGGACAGAAGGCGAAAGAGAAGGUGGAUGUAAGGGGCAAGCAGACACUCUCCGUCCCAGGCAAAUUCAUCAUUGGCCAUUAGACGCUUUAAAUAAAGGUAUGCAUGGCUGUGCAGAUUUCCAGUUUUCUAUACUAUAUUGCUUUUU